rnacentral:misc_RNA from 1 species
UACGGAGGGUGCGAGCGUUAAUCGGAAUUACUGGGCGUAAAGCGCGCGUAGGCGGUUUGGUAAGCGAGAUGUGAAAGCCCCGGGCUUAACCUGGGAAUGGCAUUUCGAACUGCCAGGCUAGAGUAUGGUAGAGGGUAGUGGAAUUUCCUGUGUAGCGGUGAAAUGCGUAGAUAUAGGAAGGAACACCAGUGGCGAAGGCGGCUACCUGGACCAAUACUGACGCUGAGGUGCGAAAGCGUGGGGAGCAAACAGG